rnacentral:misc_RNA from 1 species
CCUGUAGAUUUUCAAAAAGAGAAUAUUACCAAAACUAAUCCCAAUUACGGCUGCAUACUAUUCCCAUAAUUUUGAGAAAAAUGAAGGGUCAAAAAGAUCCAAUAGAGAAAAGGAUAAUAAAAAUAGAAGAUAGUGCAAUGGAGAUAUCAAAAGAUACAUAAAUUAAUGAAUAGAAGUCAGGAAAACAGUACCCCAAUUAGGGGGUGGUUAGAGUUGAAGAAGAAAUUGUACCUAAAAUCUCCUCUUUAAAGGUGCAACUAUCAAUUGGCCUAUGCAUCACAGAAAAGAGUAAAUUGGUAAUGCUCAAUUUUCAUUUAAAAUAAAGAAAGGGAACAGCAAAAUUCCUUGACUCCUAACUCCCCACUUUCCCGAAAUGGCAACUGCACCUCUCACAUUAAGAAUGGGGAGAUUAUCAGAUUACCAGCUCACAUAGGUAAAAAGAGCCAGGUUCUAAAUAACAAUACUGAUAGUAGUAUUGGUUAGUUUCCCGUGCAACUGUAUCAGACCUUAUUGGACCAUACUGGACCAUAUUGCUCAGUGCUACAGUGAAUAUUUUUAAAAAGAUUCAAAAAUGACUUGAAUCAAUAAUAAACAGGAACUUGACUAAAUAGGCAGCUCUCUUGCUGAUCAAACUGAUCAAACAAUAAAUCAUUGCUUAAAACAAAUAAGAAAAAGCCAAACAAAUAAAAAAAAACAAAACUUAUACCUUGUUUUGCAUAAAGCUUUUGAAGCAACCAUUGUAACUGAACACAUCAAGUGUUUUGAUGCCAAAACAGUAGAAUUUUGAAGCCAAAACAAGAAUCUAAAGGGCACAAAUGAAAGAAAGAGAGCUAGACAAGAGUUCAUUUUGCAGCUACUGGGUAAGCGAGAAUAAGAUUGUAGGCAGAUAUAAAAGGAAUACUAGUUUUUUGUGUUUACAUUAGCAACCAAAUAUGGUUAAAUAGCUGUAAAAUAAUCGUAUGACGUAUAUUGGACUGUAACACCCGUAUUGUUGAGUAUUGCCGUAUGACGUAAAUCAGACUGUAACACCCGUAUUGUUCAGUAUUGCCUAAUCCUGUACCACUGCCUUAAAAUUCAGGGUGGUAAUGGCUCAUAUGGGACAUAUCAGCCUUUUCUAAUACCCUGUAAAGGACUCCAUAUUUAGAUAUGACUGAAGUUGUCCAAAAAUUAAAAGGCAUCUCAAUAAUGAACUAUCACUCAAUGCAUGAAUCCAGCAAAGAAAAAACUGCUCUUACUUUGCUUAAAAACAAAGAAAACAGGAGAUUACAAAAAAACACAAUGAGUUAUAACCAAAAGAACCAGUCAUAAAUGAGAUAGCCCAUCAUACUUUACAUAAAACCAAAGAGAUCAGGAGAUUACAAAAGACAUACUGAGUUACAACCAAGAGAACCAGUCAUGAAUGAGAAACCAAAUCAGAACCACAAUUACAGCAACUUUGCUUCCAGAAAACAACUAAGCUAAAGUUGAACAGAAUUAUGGAAUAUGUUAAUGAGUGAUAUAUAAAUGCUGAUUAUAUUUGAAUUUCAGCCUUUUGUUUUCAUUUGAUAUAAAGCAACUUGACUGACAUACAACUUUAGGAUCAUUAUUUUCAACUAUUAUCACAGUGAUCUUCACAAAUCAACAUGGUAGAACACAGUAUACUAGAACAAUAAUCAAUAUGCAUGAAAGCCUAUAGCCAGAUAUAUAAGAUAAUACUAACAGCUAGCAUGAUAGGCAUGCCAAGUUGAUAUGAACAUCUUUCAAGGUUCUCUCCCAACCAGUACAAUACAAAGGGAAAUAAAUAGCUAAAUAAUCAUGAAAAAGAAAUUAAGCUAGUAUAGCAUCCAUUGUCCGGUAUAAUAAUGGCUGGGGACAAAUGCAUUACCAAACUACACUAAGAAUGGGAACUCAACUAAGCACAACCUAAACCUAUUUGAAUUAGCUCUAAAUCUCUUUUCUACAUUCAGCCCAUUUAGACUCCAAAGUUUCAUUAGCUGUUGGAAUAUAACACUGAAUAUUGGGGGAAAAAAAACUCAUAAAACCACAUAAAAAGUUAUUAGAAUUUCACAUCCCACACAUGAAACCAUUUAAUCCUUUUAGGCCUCUCCUCGUGCCAUACUUUGAUGCUUAAACUUGAUAAAAUUCAAAUGAAGGUAAACUAUCCAUAUGCCUAAGAUUU